UGGAACCAUCAUAUGGUAUCCCCAAAGUGU
rnacentral:piRNA from 1 species